UGGGGAAUAUUGCACAAUGGGCGAAAGCCUGAUGCAGCAACGCCGCGUGAGUGAUGAAGGUCUUCGGAUUGUAAAGCUCUGUCUUUUGGGACGAUAAUGACGGUACCAAAGGAGGAAGCCACGGCUAACUACGUGCCAGCAGCCGCGGUAAUACGUAGGUGGCGAGCGUUGUCCGGAUUUACUGGGCGUAAAGGGUGCGUAGGCGGAUGUUUAAGUAAGAUGUGAAAUACCCGGGCUUAACUUGGGUGCUGCAUUUCAAACUGGAUAUCUAGAGUGCAGGAGAGGAGAAUGGAAUUCCUAGUGUAGCGGUGAAAUGCGUAGAGAUUAGGAAGAACACCAGUGGCGAAGGCGAUUCUCUGGACUGUAACUGACGCUGAGGCACGAAAGCGUGGGUAGCAAACAGGAUUAGAUACCCUGGUAGUCCACGCCGUAAACGAUGAGUACUAGGUGUAGGAGGUAUCGACCCCUUCUGUGCCGCAGUAAACACAUUAAGUACUCCGCCUGGGAAGUACGAUCGCAAGAUUAAAACUCUAAAGUGAAUUGAC
rnacentral:rRNA from 1 species